GACGAACGCUGGCGGCGUGCUUAACACAUGCAAGUCGAACGGAAAGGCCCUGCUUUUGUGGGGUGCUCGAGUGGCGAACGGGUGAGUAACACGUGAGUAACCUGCCCUUGACUUUGGGAUAACUUCAGGAAACUUGGGCUAAUACCGGAUAGGAGCUCCUGCUGCAUGGUGGGGGUUGGACAGUUUCGGCGGUUGGGGAUGGACUGGCGGCUGAUCAGCUUGUUGGUGGGGUAGUGUCUUACCAAGGCUUUGACGGGUAGCCGGCCUGAGAGGGUGACCGGACACAUUGGGACUGAGAUGCGGCCCAGACUCCUACGGGAGGGAGGGGUGGAGAGGAUUGCACUACGGGCGGAAGCAUGAUGUAGCAACGCCGCGUGGGGGAUGACGGCAUUCGGGUUGGAUACUGCUUUUGUCUGUGACGAAGCGUGAGUGACGGUAAUGGGUAAAGAAGCACCGGCUAACUACGUG
rnacentral:rRNA from 1 species